rnacentral:rRNA from 1 species
ACGUAGGGUGCGAGCGUUAAUCGGAAUUACUGGGCGUAAAGCGUGCGCAGGCGGUUUGCUAAGACAGGUGUGAAAGCCCCGGGCUUAACCUGGGAAUUGCGCUUGUGACUGGCAGACUGGAGUGUGGCAGAGGGAGGUGGAAUUCCACGUGUAGCAGUGAAAUGCGUAGAGAUGUGGAGGAACACCGAUGGCGAAGGCAGCCUCCUGGGCCAGCACUGACGCUCAUGCACGAAAGCGUGGGGAGCAAACAGGAUUAGAUACCCUGGUAGUCCACGCCCUAAACGAUGUCAACUGGUUGUUGGUGGGGUUAAACCCAUUAGUAACGAAGCUAACGCGUGAAGUUGACCGCCUGGGGAGUACGGCCGCAAGGUUA